rnacentral:rRNA from 2 species
CNUGCAAGUCGAACGAGCUCUCCCAAAUUGAUUUUAUGCUUGCAUAAAUGAUUUUUGGAUUCGGAGCGAGUGGCGAACUGGUGAGUAACACGUGGGUAACCUGCCCCAAAGCGGGGGAUAACAUUUGGAAACAAGUGCUAAUACCGCAUAAUUAGUUGGAACCGCAUGGUUCCAACUUGAAAGAUGGCUCUGCUAUCACUUUGGGAUGGACCCGCGCCGUAUUAGUUAGUUGGUGAGAUAAAAGCCCACCAAGACGAUGAUACGUAGCCGACCUGAGAGGGUAAUCGGCCACAUUGGGACUGAGACACGGCCCAGACUCCUACGGGAGGCAGCAGUAGGGAAUCUUCCACAAUGGACGAAAGUCUGAUGGAGCAACGCCGCGUGAGUGAUGAAGGUUUUCGGAUCGUAAAACUCUGUUGUUAAAGAAAAACAAGUGUUAGAGUAACUGUUAACACUUUGACGGUAUUUAACCAGAAAGCCACGGCUAACUACGUGCCAGCAGCCGCGGUAAUACGUAGGUGGCAAGCGUUGUCCGGAUUUAUUGGGCGUAAAGCGAGCGCAGGCGGUUUUGUAAGUCUGCUGUGAAAGCCCUCAGCUUAACUGAGGAAGUGCAGUGGAAACUACAAAACUUGAGUACAGAAGAGGAAAGUGGAACUCCAUGUGUAGCGGUGAAAUGCGUAGAUAUAUGGAAGAACACCAGUGGCGAAGGCGGCUUUCUGGUCUGUUACUGACGCUGAGGCUCGAAAGCAUGGGUAGCGAACAGGAUUAGAUACCCUGGUAGUCCAUGCCGUAAACGAUGAAUACUAGGUGUUGGAGGGUUUCCGCCCUUCAGUGCCGCAGCUAACGCAUUAAGUAUUCCGCCUGGGGAGUACGACCGCAAGGUUGAAACUCAAAGGAAUUGACGGGGGCCCGCACAAGUGGUGGAGCAUGUGGUUUAAUUCGAUGCCUACGCGAAGAACCUUACCAGCUCUUGACCAUCCUUUCUGCCAGCCCAAGAGAUUUGGGGCGGUUCCCUUUUCGGUGGCACAGGAAAUUGACAGGUGGGUGGCAUUGGCUUGGUUCGGUCAGGCUCUCGCUGUCUCGUUGNANAAUUGNUNNAGGGUNUAAGGUUCNCCGUCAACCGAAAGCCGNCAACCCCNCUACUUNNUUUAUUUAUANUUUGNNCCAA